rnacentral:rRNA from 1 species
AGAACGAACGCUGGCGGCAGGCUUAACACAUGCAAGUCGAGCGCCUCGCAAGAGGAGCGGCAGACGGGUGAGUAACGCGUGGGAAUCUACCCAUCUCUACGGAACAACUCCGGGAAACUGGAGCUAAUACCGUAUACGUCCUUAGGGAGAAAGAUUUAUCGGAGAUGGAUGAGCCCGCGUUGGAUUAGCUAGUUGGCGGGGUAAUGGCCUACCAAGGCGACGACGGGUAGCCGGCCUGAGAGGGCGACCGGCCACACUGGGACUGAGACACGGCCCAGACUCCUACGGGAGGCAGCAGUGGGGAAUCUUGCGCAAUGGGCGAAAGCCUGACGCAGCGACGCCGCGUGGGGGAUGAAGGCCUUCGGGUUGUAACCCCUUUCAGCAGGGACGAAGCGAAAGUGACGGUACCUGCAGAAGAAGCGCCGGCUAACUACGUGCCAGCAGCCGC